UUCAGUUAAGUUCUUUCAAUAUUUACAGUACCCAAAACAAUUGAAAAUUGAAUCUCAAAAAUCACAUCAAAGUCUCCUACAAGGCCCAGGCAUUUCACACUUAGUCACAGAUAGGAUGUAGAAAAUACAAAGAAUUAUUAUUAUCCAAAUCUUAAUUUCUUUCGAGUUGUGUCAAUAGAUCAAUUUCGUCUCCAAAAAUAUCAUUAUGUACUUGCACCUCACAUAAAUUCCUAAGAGCAUAUCAAUCACUAAUCACUAAUAACUUUGAGCCAUUUUAACAACAAUUAAGACAUGCAAAUAUUACCAAGCACAUCUAUUUAUUUCAACCAAAGCUAAAACAGAUAUAGGACAUAUUAAUGUGACUGAGUCCCUCACAUGACAUUGCAAUUGUUUAGGAUAGAAAUCGACUAAGCAUACAUGAUGAAUCAAGAAUCUACGACACCCAGCUACGUAAAGAAACUGCAAAUAAGACUAUUCCAACUUUGUUUCCAUUUCAUCCUUCAAAUUUGACUUGACAUUGGGAGAGAUCAGGAAAGGUGUACCUGGGAAUGAACAGACAAAGGGAAAAGUGAGAAAUUGACAGUAUUAAGUGCAGAAAUCAGCACCAUCAACAGAACAACCCAGAUUCAACCAAAACUAGCAAGUCAAUCCAGAAGAAAGAAACCAAUCAAGUAAUUUAAACAAGAUAUUUAACUACCUAAGCUUAAAUUAUUUUUAACAUCAAAUAGAAUCAGAUGUUGUUCAUAAAUGAAAAACUUCAAAGUUCAAAGCAAAAAUUUCAAUGGAACAGUAUUUUCUCCAAAUUUUCAGUCGUUUGUCAUUUUUAGAAUUUUCUAUCUCUUCUUCUAUGCCUUGAAUGCCAUGUUAGAGUGCCUUUAUAGGCAAGGCACUAGGGAAACUUAAUGAGAAACAAAUCUUCACUUAGACCUCUUUUAAAAUUUGAUUUAAAUUUAGAAAACCUUAGGCAAUUUUCAAAAAUUCAAAAUAGUCCAAAAGUUAUCUUCCAAGAAGCUUCCCUUUCAGUUAUUCCCUAGAUUUCCUAAACCAAUUACCUAUAUUACCCUUUUAAAACCCAUGUUAAUUACCCCUGGACCAUGCAAGCAUAUGGGUCAGGCUGGCCCAAAGAACUAAGGCAGCCAUGUACUUGAUUGGAACACCGGAUUCUUGCUCAUUUGGGCUUUCUAUUUCUCAAAGCAGAUUCAAGCUGUAAUCUACAAUCAAAACUCUUAACAUGCUAAUGCACGAAAUCGCAGAAGAAGACCAUCAGUUCUUAAAAAUUAGACCUAAACUAAAAUCAACAUGCAAUGUACUAACUAAUCUUAAUGGGAGGAUAAAGCGAACAAACGAAACUUUUAAACAAACUAAAUCGUGCAAACGGAGUACAUGAGAACCAACAUGCAAGAUUGACGGAAAAGAAACAAAAAAUCAUAAAAGAAAUAACAUCCAGAAAAAGAGAAAGAAUAAGCAAACAAUGAAGCAGGAAUAGAAAUAAAUAUCAACAGACAAAAUAAAUGAUAAAAAAUGAAUCAAAUAUCUAGAACUGCUUUUGGUCCAACAAACAAAGAAAAGAGACUAAAAAUCUUCGAAUUUUUCGCCGCCCUUGAUUUUAAUCAUGUGUUCUUAACAAGACACACGAAUAACAUCAAGGUUAGCCCAAAUCUUCAAAAACCCAGUUCCAGGGCUUUGGGGAUUUUAGGGUCCACCCCUUCGAUCUGAAAUUUUAGGAGUUCCGGAGUGAUUCAAAGGAAAGUAUUGGUGGAUUUGGUAUGGAUGGGUCAUACGGAUUUCAGGGUGUGAGUUUCGUGGGGUUAGAAGGUGGUGCCGCCACCGGAGAAAGCUUAGUGGCGCUAGGGUUCCGCCCUUUGAUUCUAGAAUCUCGGCGGUUUCAAGGGGAUUCGAGGUAGAUAGGGUGGGGAUUUGGGAUAGGAGAUGAAAAGGGAUGUCUGGUGCGAUUUUUGGAUUGAUUGGCCACCGGCCUCCUCUGUACGCGAUUUCGGGCGGACGGUAGACCGCGGAUGGUGAUGUAUGGCAGAUUCUCUAAAGGGGACAGUGAGGGGCUGGGGGGGUAAGUAUUUUAAGACAUAUAUAUACUCAAUUCACGAUCAAUGUUGAGCCGUUGGAUGAUUGAAAUCCAAUGGCUGUGAUUGGCCCUAAUGGAACUAAGUCGUUUUAUUUAUUAAAGGGAACAAACCGGGUUCUUGGUGGGCUUAAGGCUCGACCAGGCAUGUUUGGAGGGAAAAGGAUACUGGGCCUCGGAUAAAAUAAAUUAAUUUUUCCCAAACAAUCCAUCUCUUCAUUCUGUACUCUUCUCCUUCCAUUUUCUAAAUUCAUUUUGUUUUUCUUCUUUUUUUUCAAAAUUAAAAUAAUUUCUAUAUUGAUCCUUGGGACCUAAUUAACUUAAACAAAACACUAAUUAAACCUAAAUGAUAAUUAACACAAUAAAUUAAAAAUUAAUUAAAAGAAGAAUUACACAAAAUAAAAGUUAAAAUUAAAAACGCAAAUUAGACCAUUUUUGUGAUUUUCCUUUUUUUUUUAAUAAAAAAUAACUUAAUUACUAAUCAAUUUUUAAAAUGCAAAGUCAAAUCCUAUAUGCACAUGCAACACAUUUUGUAUUUUUUUUAUUAAUUAAUAACAUAGAUGUGCACCGACAAAAUGCAAAUAAUUAACAGAAAAAUGCCACAAAAAUCCACAAAACUACGACUAAUAAAAGAAACUUAUUUUGUUUUAUAUUUGUGGGAGUGACUCAUAUAGGGGGAUAAUCAUGUGCUCAAAGCGAUAAGACUAGUCAAUCAGUAGUGGAGUUGACGGUUCUGUGCCUUUUCCUCUCAAGUUAUCCGCAUGAGGGUACCAGUCUAGACUCUUCUAGAAAGCCCCACUCUAAUAUUAACUGUGCAUGCAUCAUGACUAAACCUAAGAUGUGUUAGAAUGUUGUUCGUGUAAUAACUCGCUAAGUCAAUCCUUGUCCAAAGUUCGACAGGACUUCCAUAUUCCCAAUGGACACAAUCACGAUCUAUGCAUUAUUUGGAGAAAACAUGUCAAUGUGUUGAUCAUUAAUGUGUAAAUAGCCAAAUCCGGAGGGGAAAGGGCUAACUCUAUUUGUUUUGCAGAAAUGAGGCAGGAUGUCCCAAGUUUAGCAUGGUUCAAAAUAUCCCACCUUUUUUGCUAGGUUGGUGGGAAAAUCUCACACCAAGUGAAAGAAACCAUAUGAAGAGAGUCCUCGGGAAUUUACCAUCUAUGUUAGACAUUCAACCAAACAAUACAAUAAUUGAGGCCGCUACCAUGUUCUAGGAUGAGAAUAGAGCCGUUUUCCAUUUUGGCAACAUAGAAAUGACUCCCCUUUCAAAGAAAUAUGAGGUUUCAUUGGGCUCCCAUGGGAUGGCCUUGGUUUGUUAUUCCAGAAAGCAACACUUCUUGAGGUUUCUUGAAAACGAUGGGUAUCAGGAAAAAUGAUGAUUUAGUCUGUCUGCAGAAGUCUUACAUACCUUCAAUAUCCUCUACGAGCGUUAUGGGCACUGAAAGUGAUACCGCUUUUACCAUGAUGUGUUUCCCACCACUUCUUUGGGUUGGACUCAUCGUCGAGUUUUUGUAUUCUUUAUGUCUUUUCUAGGGAUGCUGGUAUUUCCAAUACAAGGAGAAAAGAUCCACACUCGCCUAGCUAUGGUCACUAAGGCUUUAAUAGAGGGGAUUGUGGGGCAAAUUUAUGCUAUUGUCCCUAUUAUUCUAACUGAUAUGUAUCGGUCUUUAGACCAUUGCAAAAAUGGGUUGAGGCAUUCGAAGAGUUGCAAUUUCUUGCUGCAAGUAUGGUUGUUGGAAUACCUUCAGAGAGGAAAAUACUGUCAUGAACUUCCAUGACGACCAUGGAAUGACCACAUAGCCUAUCACCAUCUCAGAGAAUGACCGCAAAGAAAACUUCCAAGGGAACACCAUUCCAUUAAUGUUUGAGGCACAACACAUGUGGCAAAAGAUCAUUCUAGAGAAAGAUACCAUUGAGCUAAAUAAGUAUCAUGCCAGCCAUGCGAACAUCUAUCCAUCAUUGUUGGUAGAUGAUAUAGUAGGGGUGUCAAGCUAUGUAUUAAUCUAAAGAAUAGGGUUGUAGACGGCGUUGUAGAAGCACUAGUCAAAUGCGUGAUGUUGCAUAAAAAGGGUCUAGAUUCUUAAGCGAGGCAUUUCGAACUACACAAAGUUAACAUGGAAGCAAUCAACGAAUGGAGAGAUAUCACUACUAAGUCAAUAGAAAGUCUGGAAUAUUUGGAGCAGGGGUUGAUGGAGCUUGAAGGGAAAAUGAGAAAGAGGGUUGCAGACUGUCAAAACACGGAUGAGAACGAAGGAGGGCUCCUAGCAAGGGCAUAUAUGUUGUUAGACAUGCACAACCUAGGAAAUCUGAUUGAUGGAGCAAAGAAGGCCAAGCAUGGAGAAGGUCCCUCUGGGACCAAAUAGAUUAGGAAUGAUAUUUUUACUUGCUUUCUGGACUCAUUUUAGACUUCGGUUGUAAUAAGGAACCUUCCAUUAUCCGCACUUUAUAAUUAUUGUUGUUUUAGUAGAGGUUUGGUUCUUUUAUCAUAUUAAUAAAAUGACGUAGUUAUUUGAAUCGAUUUUCUCCAAAUCUACGUGUCGCUUAGGCCUACCUCGGGAAUAAUAAUGUUCCAAACUUAGAACGUGAAUUUAUAAUUCCAUAAUAUGUGUUUAAAUUAUGCAAACAUCCUUUUAAUACUACUUACUCACUUGUUUACUUUUUUUGAAAUUUGUUUAUUCACAUACCCCUAUGGUUGGUUCAUACAUACUUUCAUCAUCUGCAUACCACACCAGAUCUAGAGGUCUUCUACCUCCUUCUCCUCCAUCAUAUAAGAAAGGGAAAAACUAAAAUGGAUGAUACGAUUGGUAUCUGGAAAUACAACCCUACGAAUGUAGAGAAUGUUGAAAUUUUAGAUGACCAGAGUACGCUGGCGUAGAAUGAGUUGAUUUUACGAUUAGAACAAAAGAUAUUGGAGUGACAAAGGGAACUUGAGCAGGUUUGAAACUUGUCAAACUUUCCCUUACCUGAAUUUACCCGAUGUCAACCAACAAGAUGCCCAAAACCUAGCACCUCCAAAGAACACACAGAACCAACAAAAUCCUCCUACACCUCAUCAGUAUGCCACACCUCCUCAAAAUCCUAAUCUUUCCGCCAGUACCGACCCUUCCACAACAUCAUCACCACCCAAAUCAAUACCCACAAACCACCACCUACUGUACUUCUUACAAUGCACCACAAACUACCAUGAUCCCCAAAACUAAACCAGCAACCAUCGCUACGCCCAAAUUUUUGGAGUCCCUCAAAGAAACCCCAUAUACGUGGAAACCUUACCCCACACUCCAGAACAAACCCUAUACAUACCUGAACACACUGAGAAGGACAUGCUCAUAAAAAAUAUGGCUGAAAAACUCAAGAAAAGUAAUAGUCGAGUCUAGGGUGUUGAAGGCGGUAAUGGCAUCAAAUGUUUGAAUUAUGAAGAUUUGUGUAUUCAUCUAGAAGUAUAACUACCAGAGAAACCAUCUAUGUUUGAAAUGCUCGAUGGGCAGGUGAUCCAAAUUUACACUUGAGAACAUAUUGUGACAAGCUCAUUGGGGUUGGUAAAGAUGAAAGAAUUCGCAUGAAACUGUUCAUUAGGAGCCUUAUUGGAGACGCCCUAUCCGAGUACAUCAAUCAAAAUCCAAAGAAAUAGGUUAACUGGGUAAUCAUGGAAUCAGAUUUUAUGGAUCGGUUUAGGUUCAAUAAAGAAAUACGCCAGAUGACUUUUAUAUUAGGAAUCUUAAGAAGAAUCCAACAUAAGUAUUUCGAGAAUAUGCUACUCGACGGAGAUUAGAAGCUAUGAAAAUAAUGCUAUCACUGGAAGAAGAACAUAUGAAUAAGUUCUUUGUCGGAGCUCAAGAUCUACAAUACUAUGAAAGGUUGAUGGCUAUUGAAAACCCUAAUUUUUUCGAUAUCAUCAAAUUGGGAGAAAGAAUAGACCAGGGAAUUAAAAGUAGAAUAGUAACAAACUUUAAGGCACUAAAAGCUACAGACGAAGCCUAACAGUCGGGUGAUAUUUCUAAAAAGAAGGAAGUAGUGGCAGUAAUGGUAGGCUAAGGUCCAAAGUCUCACCGCACAUACCAAACACCACCUACACAUCAACCUUUACCUCCCAAAUACCAGCAACCCACUAUAACUUAUCAUACUUAUAACACCCAUCUGACAUACUAUGACUCCCCACCAGGCCGCCAAAACUACCAAAAACCCAUAGCAAAUUUCGACCAUAGACCACUAAAUCAAUACACUCUUAUUGCUGAACCUAACCAUCAGUUGUAUCAGAUAUUGAAGGUUUCCGGUUAUGUCACUCCCAUUCCCUCAGUUUCCAUGGAAAACUCUUCCAUGUAGUUUAAUCUACACAAGACAUGUGCCUAUCCUUUGGGCAUGAAGGGUCAUAUAUUGAUGAGUGUUGCACUUUGAAGGAUUAGAUCCAUACACUGAUUGACAUCAACGUUAUAAAGCAAAAUAUGUUGCACCCAAUGUCUGCAACAAUCCUCUCCUGGAUAACAGAGGUGAGGGGUUAAAUGUGAUAGAAAUCAAUGAAGAAUGGGAUUCGAAAUGGUCAAUUUGGACUCAUUCGUGAAUGGGAUGAACCUAAAAUACCUCUAGUCACUCUCUCACAAUUUAUAAUGCGGAUUCAGUCACCGAUUCAGGUUGAAAUAGCUACGCCAAAUCUGUUUGAGGUUAAAAAGAUAAAACACUCAGAUAUACCAACCCCGCUUGACGUGGAAGUAACCGCACCCUUCAUUGUGACAGUAGCACCUAACCCCUCUUAUCACUCUAAGGGAUUGUUUGGUUACGAUACGAUUACCAGUAUAAGUUAUACCAGUAUAAGUUAUAUUUAGAUAAGUUAUAAUGGGAUUAAUUAUGCUGGUAUUGUUAUUUAUUCAUUAAUUGAUAUGUUGUAUUAAGAAUGAAAAUUAUAUAAUUUGUAAAAGAAGGUUUAAGUUAUACCGGUGCUAAUUACCCCACUUUUUAUAAGGUAUAAGUUAUCCUAGCGUUAAACUUAACACCGGAAUGCCUUAUAAUUGGUUUGCUAACCAAACCUAGUAUUAAGGUGGUAUUAAAUUUUUAUACCACCCUUAUACCUUCCUAUAUCUCAUACCAAAUGACCCCUAAAGCUAUACCCUGGGACAAUGCUGUAGAGAUGAGAAGGAAAGGAAAGGGGAGAAUGGAAGUAAUCGAUGCAACAUAGGGCGUGACCAGAAUUAGUAGGGUAUACAUGCUCAAGCAUUUGGGAGGAACAAGUAAACAAGCCACUCCCAAGCAUUCGUUCAUUGAAACUACCUCGGAUGAUCUUUGGAGAAAGGUUGAAGCAAGAGAGUAUUUUGUGGUUGAUCAUCUGAACAAAACCCUUGCUCAGAUAUCCAUUCUAUCACUACUAGAAAAAUCAGAGGCACAUAGGAAUGCAUUGAUGAAAGUAAUGAAAGAAGCUUAUGUACCCAAUAACAUCAUUAGUGGAGAAAUGGCCAACAUGGUAUGACAAGUGUUAGAAUGCAACAAGAUCACUUUUUACGAAGACGAGUUGCCACCAGAAGGAUUGAGUAACAACAAGGAACUACACAUCACAAUGUAGUUUGAGGAUAAAUUCAUUGCCAGGGUCCUGAUACAUAGGGGUUCGAAUCUCAACAUUUGUGCAUUGACUACAUUGAAGAGUUUGGGUAAAGGUUUUCAUGAAAUACGAGCAGGAACUAUGAACGUGAAAGCAUUCGAUGGGUCGUAAAGUGGCACAAUUAGGGAGAUCAACCUAUGUUUGUAGAUGUGUCCGACUUGGUUCGACGUUGAAUUUCAAGCAUUGGACAUAUCCACCACAUACAAUCCACUAUUAGGACAACCUUAGAUACAUGUUGCUUCGGCCGUAGCCUCCACUCAACAUCAUGUUGUGAAGACUGAAUGGAAUCAUUAGUAAGUAAUCCUCUACGGAGACGGGAGUAAUCCCAUUUAUACAAUCAAAUUGUUUUGGUUGCCGAGAAUUGAAGGAAGUUGGGUGGACAAACAUACCACCGCAUCUAGUGCAUCAAUGCAAUUGAGAAAGACAAAUGGUGGAGUGAUAAUAUUGGAAGGUCAAUGGAUAGGGUAUGAACUCAACAAGGGUCUCCGUGAGAAUCUCCAAGGGAUCACCAAACCGAAAAAGUUGAAGCGUCACGACAUAACUUUUUGGCUUGGGUAUGAAUGCACCUGACAUGAGUAUUAGAAUUGGUCGCCACCAUGGUGUGGUCCUUAAUACCCAUUUGAACAACCAAUAUGGCAUCUACACCAGACAUUUCAAUAGAUCGACGUGGUAUGGGGAUUUGAAGAAGAUGAGGCCUUAGCUGGCCCGAGGAAUCUAUUUCUGGACGAUGAGUUCAUCGAUUGCAAUGCAAUAGUUUAGGAGGAGGAGGAGGAGGAAGAAGAUAUUACAAUUCAGACCAUGGGAAAAGGAGCUAUUCUAAAUAACUGGACUACUACACCGUUCAGGGCCCAUCAUAUUCCUGGGUAGCAUGACAAUUAGCAUUAUCUAUUUUUAAAAGAAUUUUUAAGUAUUUAAGUAAUUUUCAGUAUUUUGUUUUGAACGUACUCUAUUUUUAAAUAAUUGCUCGAGUCAUCAUAUCGUACUUGUUUUGAUAUUUUCAAUAUUUAUUUAAUGUGUUGCUACUUUGGUAUUUAUUAUUAUCCUUCGCAUUUUCUCUCUACAAUAUUAUUAUUACUUAUCCUCAUGAACAGACGACUCGUACAUGUAAUGAGAAGACACAACAUAAGGAUAGUGAUUCAGAGAAAAUUGAAGAAGAAGAUAUAAUACUUGAGGAAGUUCUUAGAGAGGUGGAAAAUUUUGAGAACAUGCCUAAGUCCAAUUAUGAUGAAACUAACAUAGUCAAUCCGGGAGAUUCUGAAAUAGUGAAAGAAGAUAUUCUCAUAAGUAUUUACCUGUCACCAUCAGAGAAAGAAGAUUACACCCAUUUCCUGAAAUAAUCUACAGAUAUCUUUGCAUGGUCCCAUGAUGAUAUGACUGGUUUGAGCACAUCUAUAGUGGCUCAUAAACUACCGACCAAUCCGAUGUGUCUGCCUGUAAAGUAAAAGCUCAGAAAUUUCAAGUCUGAUAUGAGUCUAAAAUCAAAGAGUAGUUUACUAAACAUAUCAAAGCUAAGGUUCUUAAAGUGGUCGAAUAUCCUACCUGGUUGGUUAACAUAGUUCUACUUCUGAAGAAGGAUGGAAAGAUGAGAGUGUGCGCUGACUAUCGGGAUUUAAAUAUAGCAUGUCCUGUAGAUUAUUUCCUAUUACCCAUCAUACAGAUACUAAUCGUCAACGGUGCCAACCAUGAACUCCAAUCCUUUGUGGAAUGCUUCGCGGGAUAUCAUCUAUGGAUGGAUAGAUGAAGAAGAUGCCAAGAAGAAAGCUUUUAUUACACCAUAGGGAGUGUAUUGCUAUAAAAUGAUGUUUUUUGGUUUGAAAAAUGUUGGGACCACUUAUAUGAGAGCCAUGAUAAUGAUUUCCCACAACACGAUACACAAAAAGAUAGAAGUAUGCAUGGAUGACGUUAUCAUCAAAUCCAAGAAGGGUACAAAUCACAUAGCGGAUUUGUGAAAGUUCUUUGAUAGGCUUCGAAGGUAUAGUCUGAAACUGAAACCUACAAAAUGUGCUUUUGGGGUCCCUGUUGAAAAGUUAUUAGGAUUCAUCGUCAGACGCCGAGAAAUGAAGCUAAACCUGUCAAAAGGUCAAGGCUAUCCAAGAUUUGCAACACCCAAAGAACAAGAAAGAUAUGAUGUGCUUCUUGAGGUGUCUCAAUUACAACACCCACUUCGUAGCACAAUCCACCAUGAUCUGUGAGCCAAUUUUCAAAAUGUUAAAGAAGGACGUUGCAACAAGUUGGACCGAAAACCGCCAGAAAGUAUUUGACAAAAUCAAGGAAUAUUUGUCCACACUACCAGUCCUAGUCCCGCUAGAACCUGAGAGGCCUUUGCAAUUGUAUUUAUCUAUACUAGAUAAGGCUUUCGGUUAUGUAUUUAGACAACACGAAAAGACAGGAAAGGAAAAGCAUUCCAUAUAUUAUUGGAGUAAGAAGUUCAAAAUAAAGAACCCCAUUUUGAAUAAUGUCAUUUUAAAUAAAAAAAAUUCUUUUUAUAUUACCCUUCGGGGGUGAUGUGUAAAAAGGAGGUGUGACGAUACCAAAAGGAGGAAAAAGAUUGUGCUUUAAACAAGUGAUGUUUACACUUUGAAUAGUGAUGUUUAUAACCUAAUGUACCUGAUCCUUGAUGAUAAGUGAUAAAAAAGAAAACUAUUUCUAACAUUGUGUUGAUGUUGAGCUGAGUUGAAAUAGGGUCUAAGCUUAUGAAAAGCAUAGAGUUUGUUAUCAUCAAAAAGGGAGAAUUUUUUGGCGCAAGUGAAGGUUAGUUUUGAAGACUGACAAAGGAACUCAGGAUGAACCAGGUCCAUCCCUUAGGUGUACAAAAACGGGCAGAUUCGAGCAUGUGGGUUGCACGUGACGGAGAUAAGCUUAACUUGGUGUAUUUAAUAUCUCCAUAUCAAAGAGGUUGCAUAAUUGAUAAGGAGUAGGAGUCUUUAAUCAAAGAAAACACUAUUCAAGAUAGGAAAGAAGUUAGAAGUUAAAAUCAACUAGAACUCUUCCACCAAGGAAGAGUUGCAUCAGGACUCUAGUUAUUUCUUCAUCUACUAACUCUAUAAAUGGCAGGAUGUUCUCACAUUAAAGUGUUGCACAAAACACAGAAGUUAAACCUGAAUCGAGAUCAAAAUAUCAAGGCUUUUUGCAAGCAGUUCGUGUGUGAUUCAAGUGUGCAAACCUAAAGCUACAUGAACCAGAUUGAAAAACCAGCCCCAUAAGGAGUUUUAUAUGUCUUUCUUUAUUUCUAGUUCAAUUGUAGUAGGAUUUUUCAUAUUGUAUCUUUCAGCUUUAUCUAGAAGCAUUGCAAGAUGUUCUCACAUUAAAAGUGUUGCACAAAAACGCAGAAGUUAAACGUGAAUGGAGAGCAAAAUAGCAAGGUUUUUUGCUAGUAGUUCUUGUGUGAUUCAUGUAUGCAAACCUUAAGCUACAUUACCCGGAUUGAAGAACCAGCUCCACAAAAGAAUUUUAUGUGUCUUUCUUUAUUUCUAGUUCAAUUGUAAUAGGUGUUUUUAUAUUGUACCGUUCAACUUUCAUAGAAGCAAUUGUAUUAGGUACAUAGAGUGUUCAAGUUAGAAUUAACUUGAAGUUUUCACAACAGUUAGAGGCUGGUUGCUGCAACAGCAUUAUAAGUAAUCCUUAGGUUUACAAAGAGUUUUGUAAAUGUUGUCUUGGCUCGGUGAUUUAGUGAAGUGUUGGGAAAAUUCCUAUUGAGUAGUAGGUCGUGGAUUUUUUCACUUUUUGAGCCAGGUGCUUUUCACGUAAAAUCUAUAUGUUUUUUAUUUUCUGUAUUUAUUAUUCCGCAACAGUAGCAGUUAGAACACAUAGAAAAAUCAGGUCCAUCAUAAUCAAUUUAAGCGAAAAAUUUGGUACUACACAAAUCAUCCUCCCUCCCCCUUCUUGUGUGGUAUUGACAUUUAAAACAUCAGAAUGGAACAGAAGAAAAAGUAUUCUAUUAAAAUGACAACUAUCAUUACAAGUAAUGGAAAGCUAUAUAUAUACAACUAACAUCUAACUAACUAUACUAACAACCAAUUCGCUAAUUAUAGUUCUAACUAACUUAACUAUAUAAUAGUUAGGUGAUAGAUGUACUACUGUUAUAUGUACUACUAUUAUUAUCCUUUACAGAUGUCUCAUGCCUUUAUUUGGUCAGUCGCAGGCCUUUUUUAUGCUUUUAUCCUAGAAAUAGUUCUUUCAUCACGCAAAUUCUUCAUUCCCAAAUGCACCCGUAUAUAUCUUUGUAUAAGUUUACACGUAUAUACGUGUAAAUUUCUUGGUUUGCUUGACACUCCUUCGUAGUUUGGCUUGUGCCAAUGGAGUUCACCCACUUAAUACAUGUAUCGAUAUUUUAAUUUUUUAUUUAUUUUUAAAAAAAGCUACUUCAUUAAUAAUAUAGUUUCUCAUGGCAGGAAGCUUGGACCACCCCCCUUGGAAUUAUCUCUUCACUAAAAUGAUUUCAAAUAAGAUAAAAUGAAAGUUAAACACUGUAAGCUUGAUAAGAGACAGAAACUAGUACCCAAAUCAACGAGCAAACGAGGACCAAAAAUAGAAACUCGACCAAAUUGCUAGAAAUUCGAAGCCGACACAAGAAACUCAGCAAACUUUAAUGGCUUUACACGGCUGAAACAGAGCUUGAACUUUUGGAUUGGUUACUGGCUAGAUUUCAGACGAAUUUUAAGUAGAUUGAUGGUUGAUGUGCAACUGAUUGUGUUCGUGUGAGCUUGGUGAAAGAUGGAAUUGUGUGAGGUCGAAAAUUCAGGGGUCUUUUGUUGGAGUUC
rnacentral:lncRNA from 1 species